rnacentral:rRNA from 1 species
UGGGGAAUAUUGCACAAUGGGCGCAAGCCUGAUGCAGCCAUGCCGCGUGUAUGAAGAAGGCCUUCGGGUUGUAAAGUACUUUCAGUCGGGAGGAAGGUGUCAAGGUUAAUAACCUUGGCAAUUGACGUUACCGACAGAAGAAGCACCGGCUAACUCCGUGCCAGCAGCCGCGGUAAUACGGUGGGUGCAAGCGUUAAUCGGAAUUACUGGGCGUAAAGCGCACGCAGGCGGUUGAUUGAGUCAGAUGUGAAAUCCCCGGGCUUAACCCGGGAAUUGCAUCUGAUACUGGGCAGCUAGAGUCGUGUAGAGGGGGGUAGAAUUCCAUGUGUAGCGGUGAAAUGCGUAGAGAUGUGGAGGAAUACCGGUGGCGAAGGCGGACCCCUGGACAAAGACUGACGCUCAGGUGCGAAAGCGUGGGGAGCAAACAGG